AUACGGAGGGUGCAAGCGUUACUCGGAAUCACUGGGCGUAAAGGACGCGUAGGCGGAUUGGAAAGUCAGAUGUGAAAUCCUACAGCUUAACUGUAGAACCGCAUUUGAAACUUCUAAUCUAGAGUAUGGGAGGGGGAGAUGGAAUUAGUGGUGUAGGGGUAAAAUCCGUAGAUAUCACUAGGAAUACCGAAAGCGAAGGCGAUCUCCUGGAACAUAACUGACGCUAAGGCGUGAAAGCGUGGGGAGCAAACGGGAUUAGAAACCCUAGUAGUCC
rnacentral:rRNA from 1 species